UGAUAGCUCAGUUGGUAGAGCAAAGGACUGAAAAUCCUUGUGUCGGUGGUUCGAGUCCGCCUCGG
rnacentral:tRNA from 1 species